GACGAACCGUCCAAACGUUAUUCGGAAUCACUGGGCUUAAAGGGUGCGUAGGCGGCCUGGAAAGUUGGGUGUGAAAGCCCUCGGCUCAACCGAGGAAUUGCGCCCAAAACUUCCAGACUCGAGGGAGACAUAGGUGAGCGGAACUUAGGGUGGAGCGGUGAAAUGCGUUGAGAUCCUAAGGAACACCAGUAGCGAAAGCGGCUCACUGGGUCUCUUCUGACGCUGAGGCACGAAAGCUAGGGGAGCGAAGAGGAUUAGAUACCCCCGUA
rnacentral:rRNA from 1 species